rnacentral:misc_RNA from 1 species
UCCGUCUCCAACUUGCGUCUUGUGUUUUUGCCGACGGAGGCGCCGCGUUUGCCGCCACUUCAGGGCUGCAACGGCCCACACACACACGCACACACACACAAUAUUUUCCACAAGGCGAGAGGUUGAUCAACCGUCCUCGCGGCGUUUUCCCCCUUGCUCGGUGUCGCUGCCAUGUGGGCGCUAGCGCAGCUCGAGGAGCAGCUGAAUGACCUCGACGCGUUGAACCGCGCCAGCGCGAAGGCUAUCGACUCGUUCGCCGAGACCUCGAGCGCCAUCUCAGUUCGCGCGAAUGAGAUCAUCCGAGAUGUCAAGCCGUGGGAUGUGGCGCAGGAGAACAUCACCCUCACCAUCGAGGAAAUGGCGAAAGCAGCGCGCUGUUAUCAUCCUCCACCCAUCCUACCGUCGGUGCUGAGCGGAAAGGAGUCGAGCUGGGAAGCCAUUGCGCGGUGCAUGGACUACCUCGUCUACGCGGAUGACUACCUAGCGAGCCACCCACCGAACUAUUACGGGACAGAGAUCGAGGCCAGGACAGGGAUGCAGCUGCAGCAGAUUGUGCGCAUCAGCGAGGAUUUCGUGAAGAGUGCCUUCAUCAACGCGGUACAGCGGAGCAAGGUAUCGCAGCCCGGCGCCGGUGCAGGCGGGUCUACAGGCCAGGCAGGAGGCAGCCUCAGCGUCGCCACACGGAUGGACAGUGCUCUGACCGCACCCACGGCGAACCGGCUCAUCCGCAAUGAGACAGCGCUGCAGGGCGUCGAUCAGAUCGUGCAGCGCCUCGGCGAAAACUUCAAUCGCACUGACAUUCUUCGGAAAGACGUACGGAAGCUCCUUGAGGAGAAGCUCGUCAGAGCCGUGCAGGCGCAGUUCGACAGCGCCUACCGCGACGAGGAAACGGGGAGGGGCCCCCUGACAUCUCGCUCGUCUCUGCUGCCAGUGCUGAAGCACUACCAGCACGGAGACCAUCGACUGCUGCGCAUCAGUGAAUCGGCGCGGGAGCUGGUGACGGACGCGUGUGCUUGUCUGCAGCGUUAUGUCCUGACGCCGCUGGAGGACGACUACGCGGUAGCGGACAUCCCGAGCGAGCUGGCCACCGUUGUCUUCGAUCUGGUGUAUCGGCGCGCCAUCAAGGUGAUCCAGCUCGACACCUCCUUUUUUGCGGACCCGACGAAGCUGUUCGUCGACUCGUGCGGUCAAGGGAUCGGCCUCUUCUCGACGCCGCGCUACUUCCGCGACUACAUUUUCAUCGGCCUCGACUUCAUGGAGGAGUUUUGGAAAUGGAAGAUGCUGUCCAAGUCGAUUCCUGGUGAGAACAGGGACUUCAUCGACCACGUGGACGACUCGGUGGACAACUUCAUCUACCGAAUCCGUGAGUUGCUGGACGGAUACGUCAACGCGAAAGGGGCGCUGGAAAAGGAAUCGCUGAAGGAGUACGCGCGCUCCAUGCGCCGCACGGAAUGGUUUCCGUCCGUCGACUGCACGGUGCACGAGUCGACGACGAACGUGCUUUACUUCCACAAGACUCUACUCACCUCCUUCUACGGCUCUCUGCGCAUCGUCUUGUACGGCAGCGUCAUUGGCGCCAACGCCGAUUACGAGUCCUGCCAGGAGGUGGAGGACUACAUUACUCGAGGUGUGAUGGGUGCGGUGGACGACCUGCACGUGCUGGCAGAAGCGGCGGCAGAGCUUCAGCAAGAGGCACUGGCCAAGCGCAAUCACCACACAAAGUCUGACUCCCUCAACCUCCUCACCAGUGACGUGCGACUCUCCGUGGACAUCUUCAUGAUCAACAACUUGUGCUUCUUGGAGGACAACUACCGUCGCGAGGCGUGCUUCACGACGCGUCUUGCAGCAGCGGAGCCGCCAGCGAAAUCCUCGCGUGAGGGAGCCAAUGCCCACAAAGGCGCCGCGGCGCCACCUCCACCUGAUCCGCCGCUCUCGCAGCUCUUCGACAUGCUCAACUCGGAACGAGAGCGCUACGUGGAAGCCUUUGGGGCGAGCUGGCAUAAGUGCUUUCCAUCCAUAACAGGCCACUCCGAGCUGCUGUCUAUCGAGCCAAACUCGACGACGGAGCUUCGCAAGUCGCAGCGCAUGGCGGUGAAGCAGUGGCAUCGACGCGUGAACGACGCGCUUUUGAGGAAGAUUUAUUACUGCAAGGCAGAGGCUAUGAUGGACGCAAAGUCGCGCACCCAGCUCUUCGAAGUCUCUGUCGCCGCGGUGCGCGAUGAGUUCGAGCGCAUGGAAGCGCUGUUGAGCGGCCGCACAUGGUCCUCGCAGCCGCAAAAGUGGAUGUCCUUUACACCCACUGAGUGGGAGGACCAAAUCCGGCAAGCGUUUUGAUUCUUUUGGGGGGAAGGAGGUCCAUUUUUGGAAAGCGAGGGGGCGCUUCGCGGGUGUUUUCUACCUUGCACACACACAGAGAGACGCCCAGCCCCACUGCUACUAUCGGGUAGGCGCGGCGAUGAGGCACGCCAAUCUCUCCCCGAGUAUGCCGCGCUCGCCUUCUGCUGCUGCUCUUGACUGUUGUCGGUUCUCUUCUCUGUUAUUGACUAUCUUUCGUUUUAGACUAGCGCACCUCCAUCAGCGCGCUUUUUCUUCUUCGAGAAAGAUGCCGGCGUGUUCCCCGUGCUGCACAGUUUCGUUUUUGUUGCAUCUUUCGCCGACACUUCCUCCCUGGCAUCUCUCCUCCUCAGGUAGAGUGCAUCGGGACGUCAACAAACGCCCGAGUCGAGGCAACCGCCGUUCACCUUGCUCUUCUAAAGUACAAGGUGAGGAGGGGGUCGUUGCACGGACCCCAGCGUCCAUGUGGACAGCAAGCUGGCAGAGACCCUGCCCUCCUCCUUUCCUCGCUGCUGUGAGUAAUUCUUCGACAACUCUGGCAACCCUGUCUUUCUGUUCCAUCACCAUCUUCGUCGUGCUGACCUCCUCUCAUAUUCCUCACUUUUGUAUUUUCCCGCUUCCAUGCACAUUUUUUUUUGGUUGUUUUGUUUGUAUUAUAUUGUCGCCCAUGCUGCCCGUGCCAACACACAG